UCAAGAUGUAUCUUUCGUGCAGAUCAAGAUGUAUCAAGAUGUAGAUACCUUUCACUUAAGAUCCAUGCAGGCGCAAGCUCUGGAUGAACUUCUGCGGUGACGUCGGCAUUCUUACAGGAGAACCCAAGAUUCGCUGUACCUGUAUGCAUUUCAAGACUGAAUAAUUGAUAGCAGCAAGUAAAUAUUUGAAGUUGCAGCCAAAUGCUGUGCCUUCUCUGCUGCAAGAACUACAUGUCACCAUUGAAGCAAGGACCAGCUCGACUCCUGCAGUAGGAGUCCAGCCUCGUCCAGUCGUCCCCGCUCGCCAAGA